CCUGCGGGCCGCGCCAGGAUCCCGCGCCCCGCACCGCCCGCACCCGCUCCGCACGCGCACCGACGCCCGGGGCGCAGUCCCCCGGGGCGCAGCCCGGAAACAGACGAGGCGGGCAGAUCUCCCGAACUUCCUGACGGGGGGAAGGGCGCGUGCUUAAUCCGGCCCGGCCGUGGGCGCUCCGGGAGGCGGCGGCUGGCCCCGAACUUGAAACAACCGCCGCGGAAGCAGGACGUCUCCAGCCAGGCGCACCUGUUCCCGGCCGUGCGGGCCGAGCCCUGCAGAGCCCGGCUGACCUUGGCACCCAGGAAGUCCACACUCCGCCCCUUCCCAUAGCAAAAAAGAAACCUGACCCAAAAACGAAAGUAGCCGGCGGGAGUUGACGGAGGAAACGCAGGUGGCGCCGGGGCAGAACGGCCCUGGGUGCGUCUGAAGGAGGCAUCUGUACCUGAAUGAGGAACAGCCUGCGGGUGCUUCUCAGCUGGAGCGCGCAUCCGGUCGAUGCAGAAAUUGUUCUGGAGCUACAGGCUUCUGAAACUCUUCCCAGCAGGUAAAGGAGUGAGUGUGGAAGUGGAUUCCUUGCUUGGACUUGAAGAUCAUGGUCCCAGCUGGCACUUGGAUUGCAGCCUUGUGAAACAACCUCAAG